ACACCGUGAGUCAGCUGGUGGCACUGGCCCACUGGGCCUGCUCCGGAUGAACAGUGCUCACCCAAAUAAGCCUGGUCUCAGCUCCCUGUUUCUGUCUUUUGUUGUUGUUGUUGCCCAGCGUGUAUGUAAAUUUGCUGUCUGAGUCUGCUGGACUUCCAUAUCUUGUUCACUGUGUGAUGGUGUUUUGAAAUGGCUGCUCUUACGAGGGGGAGCGAGGACUUGGCGCAGCAGAGCGGAUGCGUCCUCUCUGGACUUUGCUUCCGGAGAUGUUGACUCAGAGCGGCAGGGAUGACGCAGUGCACUGUGGCCGGAGCAGCAGCCAUAGCAGCUGCAUCCGGUUUCCAGUGGAGCGAGAGACAGCUGUUCUGAGGCAGUAUGCAAUGUCCCACAUCUGAGGACUUGGCAGCGUGAGCCUUGGGGCACCGGGGAGAUGGGGAGAGGCCCCUGGAGCGUGCUGGCCUGCCUGUUCAGCCUAGCUGGCAAGUCCCAGGACUCACCGACAGACUCUGCUCCAAGACAGUGAGUGACUGCUGAAGAAUGACGCCUGAGCUGACUCCUGGCUUCCACAGAGAGGCACAUCUGUAACAUGUGUAAGCAUGCUCACUUGAACAUACAAGUGCGUUCUCUGUCAUGGACACACGCACAUGUGUUGGCCAUUUGUUCAGUCCUUCUGUAAAUUGUUUUCUUUAUCAUCUAUACGAUAAAGUUGAGACUACUUCAAGGCUUUUUUUUUUUUUUUCAGUUUUUCUGAGACAGGGUUUCUCUGUGUAGCCCUGGCUGUCCUGGAACUCACUCUAUAGACCAGGCUGGCAUUGAACUCACAGAUAUCUGCCUGCCUCUGCCUCCUGAGUGCUGGGAUUAAAGGAACGCGCCACCACCUCCCUUAAAUCUAAUGACUCUUAAUGGUGAAGCUGCCAUCUAGCCAAAGCCCUUUGUGGGUUGCUGACAGUAAAUGUGAAAAAAAAAAAAAAAUAUAUAUAUAUAUAUAUAUACAGGGAAAGUAGGUUACUUCUGCCUCAUUCCAUUUAUACUGGUUGGAUACAGGCAAGACUUUCUGGGCCAACACUCAAUGGCUCAACAAGCAAAAGCUCCAGCUCUGUAGACUGACAAAAUCUGUAACGAAGGUACUCACUAGCUAGUGAUUUCUACCAUUCUCAAAGUGUUGGCUUCAUCACCACAACCUAAAGACAAAAUCUCCACCACAUCACAUACCAGUCUGGGAGGACGGGGGUGGGGGGGAGAGCAGAGGCUGUGGGAAGGCCAGCGUGGUUAUUUAAAAGAGGAGUAAGAAGCCUAACCAGGUCUGGUGUCCAAUCUGGUUGAGAAUCAUUAGAUUUCAGCAAUCUAUGGGCAAUGCGAGAUCGUUCUAGGAAAAAAAAACAUGAUCAGUGUCUGAGACAGCCCCAGACACUUGCUUCUUUCUUUAAGGACUGGGAGGAAGAUAUGGUCUUGUCCCCACUGAUGUGGUGUGAGCUGGAGAAAUUUGGCUGCUCACCAGAAUGGGACAAGCAAUCCUUACUUGUCCUCGGGUAACACCCUACUUCCAUAAACCGCAAACGCUUAUAUCAACACUACAUGAACUAUGCAAGCAGAUGCCAUCGAGCCCCGUGGAUUCAACUGCUGAAGAGAAAAAAUAAAGCAUUUGAAAAAUAAUCUCAUUUCCUGCACCAUUCUAUUUUGAAUGCCAGAGAUGGGGUGUUCUGAAAGAAAGCUUCUUAGCACUUGGACGCCACUGAAGAGCUAGCCAGCUUUGAUUGACGGCUGGCAGCCAUUGCUAGGUGAACCUAACCUUAAAAAUCACAGCCAACAUUUUGUGGAAAGUUGCUACGUAAAAUUGAAGUUUGAUCACACUGUAUCUUUGGAGCUGGUUCAUGAAGCCAGGAGCUCCCUGAUUCGGGAUGGCACCACCCACAGUGGGCUGAGCCCUUGGACAUCACUUAGUAAUCAAGACAAUCCCCUGAAGACAUGCCUUCAGGCCAAUCUGAUCCAUUGAGGCCUUCCUGUCACAUGGCUACCGGCUGUGUCAACUUGUUAAAGCAAAACAGGGUAGGAACCCUGAUGAGGAUCCCUAAAAGUAGAAGAAGGCAGAAGGACAGAAACGUCCGUUUCCUGAAAAUUGCUAAAAUAGCAUCAGCAGCGUGGAACAGCAAGGGAAAGCACAGUGACCAUGUGCAAACCGGAAGUGCGUCGUGGGGUGGUUUCUGCUUCCUGUAGCACUCCAGAACCACAGGUGUCUGUGCGCUGUCUUCCCCAGACCAGCCUUCACCCACCUGGGAACCUAGUAGAAAUGCAAAGCAGAAACGAAUGCAUGCAAUGAUGGCUGGAUUGCCACAAUCACCUUGGACCAUGACAACAAGUGAUUUAGUUCAGAUCUGAUGGAACAAAAAGCUACAAUGAGCUUAGGUCCCUGGUGACUGCAGGAACCUGCACUCUGAGCUUUGGACUACCCACCCCCCAAUGGGUGACAGAAUAAAACCCGGGUGUUUAAUUUA